rnacentral:rRNA from 1 species
AGUGAACGCUGGCGGUAGGCCUAACACAUGCAAGUCGAACGACAGCACAGUAAGAGCUUGCCCUUACGGGUGGCGAGUGGCGGGUGGGUGAGGCAUACAUCGGAAUCUACUUUUUCGUGGGGGAUAACGUGGGGCAACGUACGCUAAUACCGCAUACGAUCUACGGGUGAAAGCAGGGGAUCUUCGGACCUUGCGCGACUGAAUGAGCCGAUGUCGGAUUAGCUAGUUGGCGGGGUAAAGGCCCACCAAGGCGACGAUCCGUAGCUGGUCUGAGAGGAUGAUCGGCCACACUGGAACUGGGACACGGUCCAGACUCCUACGGGAGGCAGCAGUGGGGAAUAUUGGGCAAUGGGCGCAAGCCUGAUCCAGCAAUACCGCGUGAGUGAAGAAGGCCUUCGGGUUGUAAAGCCGUGUUGUUGGGGAAGAAAAGCAGCGGGUUAAUACCCCGCUGUUCUGACGGUACCCAAAGAGUAAGCACCGGCUAACUUCGUG